CGCGUAGGCGGCUCGGUAAGUCUGGAGUGAAAUUCCUGCUUUCAAGGUGGGAACUGCUUUGGAUACUGUCGGGCUUGAGUGCAGGAGAGGUAAGUGGAAUUCACGGUGUAGCGGUGAAAUGCGUAGAGAUCGGGAGGAACACCAGUGGCGAAGGCGACUUACUGGACUGUAACUGACGCUGAGGCGCGAAAGUGUGGGGAGCAAACAG
rnacentral:rRNA from 1 species